rnacentral:rRNA from 1 species
GAUGAACGCUGGCGGCGUGCCUAAUACAUGCAAGUCGAGCGAACGGACGAGAAGCUUGCUUCUCUCAUGUUAGCGGCGGACGGGUGAGUAACACGUGGAUAACCUACCUAUAAGACUGGGAUAACUUCGGGAAACCGGAGCUAAUACCGGAUGAUAUUCUGAACCGCAUGGUUCAAAAGUGAAAGACGGUCUUGCUGUCUCGUAUAGAUGGAUCCGCGCUGCAUUAGCUAGUUGGUAAGGUAACGGCUUACCAAGGCAACGAUGCAUAGCCGACCUGUGAGGGUGAUCGGCGACACUGGAACGGGGACGCGGUCAAGAGUACUAAGGGAGGCACCAGUAGGGAAUGUGCGGCAAUGGGCGAAAGCCUGACGGAGCAACGCCGCGUGAGUGAUGAAGGUCUUCGGAUCGUAAAACUCUGUUAUUAGGGAAGAACAUAUGUGGAAGUAACUGUGCAGAGCUUGACGGUACCUAAUCAGAAAGCAACGGCUAACUACGUG